rnacentral:rRNA from 1 species
GUGACCUCGAUCAGGAGRAMUACCCGCUGAACUUAAGCAUAUCAAUAAGCGGAGGA